UACGUAGGGGGCAAGCGUUGUCCGGAAUCAUUGGGCGUAAAGAGCGUGUAGGCGGCCAGAUAAGUCCGCUGUGAAAUCUCGAGGCUCAACUUCGAGCUGUCGGUGGAAACUGUCUGGCUAGAGUCCGGAAGAGGCGAGAUGGAAUCCUGGUGUAGCGGUGAAAUGCGCAGAUAUCAGGAGGAACACCGGAGCGAAGGCGGCUCUGG
rnacentral:rRNA from 1 species